AUUGAACGCUGGCGGCAUGCCUUACACAUGCAAGUCGAACGGUAACAGGUCUUCGGAUGCUGACGAGUGGCGAACGGGUGAGUAAUACAUCGGAACGUGCCUAGUAGUGGGGGAUAACUACUCGAAAGAGUGGCUAAUACCGCAUGAGAUCUACGGAUGAAAGCAGGGGACCGCAAGGCCUUGCGCGAAUGGAGCGGCCGAUGGCAGAUUAGGUAGUUGGUGGGGUAAAGGCUCACCAAGCCAACGAUCUGUAGCUGGUCUGAGAGGACGACCAGCCUCACUGGGACUGAGACACGGCCCAGACUCCUACGGGAGGCAGUAGUGGGGAAUUUUGGACAAUGGGCGCAAGCCUGAUCCAGCCAUGCCGCGUGCAGGAUGAAGGCCUUCGGGUUGUAAACUGCUUUUGUACGGAACGAAAAGGUCCUUUCUAAUAAAGAGGGCUCAUGACGGUACCGUAAGAAUAAGCACCGGCUAACUACGUGCCAGCCGCCGCAGUAAGAC
rnacentral:rRNA from 1 species